rnacentral:rRNA from 1 species
UUUCCGGUUGAUCCUGCCGGACCUGACUGCUAUCGGAUUGAUACUAAGCCAUGCGAGUCAUUGUAGCAAUACAAGGCAGACGGCUCAGUAACGCGUAGUCAACCUAACCUAUGGACGGGAAUAACCUCGGGAAACUGAGAAUAAUGCCCGAUAGAACACUAUAUCUGGAAUGGUUUGUGUUCCAAAUGAUUUAUCGCCGUAGGAUGGGACUGCGGCCUAUCAGUUUGUUGGUGAGGUAAUGGCCCACCAAGACUAUUACAGGUACGGGCUCUGAGAGGAGUAGCCCGGAGAUGGGUACUGAGACACGGACCCAGGCCCUAUGGGGCGCAGCAGGCGAGAAAACUUUGCAAUGUGCGAAAGCACGACAAGGUUAAUCCGAGUGGUUUCUGCUAAAGGAACCUUUUGUCGGUCCUAGAAACACCGAUGAAUAAGGGGUGGGCAAGUUCUGGUGUCAGCCGCCGCGGUAAAACCAGCACCUCAAGUGGUCAGGAUGAUUAUUGGGCCUAAAGCAUCCGUAGCCUGCUUUGUUAGUUUUCGGUUAAAUCUAUACGCUCAACGUAUAGGCUGCCGGGAAUACUGCAAAGCUAGGGAGUGGGAGAGGUAGACGGUACUCGGUAGGAAGGGGUAAAAUCCUUUGAUCUAUUGAUGACCACCUGUGGCGAAGGCGGUCUACCAGAACACGUCCGACGGUGAGGGAUGAAAGCUGGGGGAGCAAACCGGAUUAGAUACCCGGGUAGUCCCAGCCGUAAACCAUGCAAACUCAGUGAUGCAUUGGCUUGUGGCCAAUGCAGUGCUGCAGGGAAGCCGUUAAGUUUGCCGCCUGGGAAGUACGUACGCAAGUAUGAAACUUAAAGGAAUUGGCGGGGGAGCACCACAAGGGGUGAAGCCUGCGGUUCAAUUGGAGUCAACGCCGA